rnacentral:tRNA from 1 species
GGGCUCGUAGCUCAGCGGUAGAGCAGCGGACUCAUAAUCCGUCAGGUCGCAGGUUCGAAUCCUGCCGGGCCCA